UGACCAGUUUCAAGAGUGCCUUUCCAGGUCUCCAGUCUUUCCAAUUCUCCUCCAAAUGUGUUGGAGAAGACCCCUCUGGUCGAGGGGAGGUACAACAAGCCCCAUCAAACAAAAUGGUCUGCACAUCUUCUUCUCUUAAAGGACCUUUUCUUCUUGCGAAAAAGUGUAAAGGUCAUG
rnacentral:sRNA from 1 species